CCUACGGGAGGCAGCAGUAGGGAAUUUUCGGCAAUGGGGGGAACCCUGACCGAGCAACGCCGCGUGAAGGAAGAAGGAAUUCGUUCUGUAAACUUCUGUUAUAAAGGAAGAAAGACGGAUGGAGGAAAUGACAUCCGAGUGACGGUACUCUAUGAGAAAGCCACGGCUAACAACGUGCCAGCAGCCGCGGUAAUACGUAGGUGGCAAGCGUUAUCCGGAAACAUUGGGCGAAACGAGGGGGCAGGCGGCAGCAAAGGACUGUGGGGAAAGACUGAGGCAUAACUUCAGUAAGCCAUAGAAACCGGGCAGCUGGAGUGCAGGAGAGGAUCGUGGAAUUCCAUGUGUAGCGGUGAAAUGCGUAGAUAUAUGGAGGAACACCAGUGGCGAAGGCGACGAUCUGGCCUGCAACUGACGCUCAGUCCCGAAAGCGUGGGGAGCAAAUAGGAUUAGAUACCCCAGUAGUC
rnacentral:rRNA from 1 species